rnacentral:rRNA from 1 species
UACGUAGGGGGCGAGCGUUGUCCGGAAUGAUUGGGCGUAAAGGGCGCAUAGGCGGCCCUGUAAGUCUGGAGAGAAAGUCCCGUUUUCAAGAUGGGAAUUGCUUUGGAUACUGUAGGGCUUGAGUGCAGGAGAGGUUACUGGAAUUCCCAGUGUAGCGGUGAAAUGCGUAGAGAUUGGGAGGAACACCAGUGGCGAAGGCGAGUAACUGGACUGUAACUGACGCUGAGGCGCGAAAGUGUGGGGAGCAAAC